rnacentral:rRNA from 1 species
CCUACGGGAGGCAGCAGUGGGGAAUCUUCCGCAAUGGGCGAAAGCCUGACGGAGCAACGCCGCGUGAUCGAAUGAAGGCCUUCGGGUUGUAAAGAUCUGUUGACAGGGACGAAUAAGCAAUGCGAAUAGAUGUGUGUAUGACGGUACCCGGAGAAAAAGCAUCGGCUAACUCCGGGCCAGCAGCCGCGGUAAUACGGAGGAUGCGAGCGUUAUCCGGAUUCAUUGGGUUUAAAGGGUGCGCAGGCGGGCGUUUAAGCCGGCGGUGAAAUCGGGGGACUCAACCCCGCCGAGCCGUCGGAACGGGGGGCCUUGAGUGCGGCGGAGGCAUGCGGAAUGCGCGGUGUAGCGGUGAAAUGCAUAGAUAUCGCGCAGAACCCCGAUUGCGAAGGCAGCGUACCGUGCCGCCACUGACGCUGAGGCACGAAAGCGCGGGGAUCGAACAGGAUUAGAUACCCGUGUAGUC